CCCCUUUUAACGUCUUAUCUGCUUUCUGAAGCGUGCUGCUUUGCCAUUCCAAUUUUGGCAUGGUUUUUUGAGAGCUGUCCGUCAACGCACGUUUAUUUUUCGCUGUCUUUUGGCAAACCACAAGUAGAAAGAGGUGGAUUUUAUUUCUGCUCUGCGUCACAGAUGAUCAGAUUUGGAGAAAACCAAAUACAACCUUUGGCUCUCUGAAACUAACUCCACUUUUUUGCCAAAAAUCCCAUUUUCCAAGUUUCUUUUGUCCAUUUUCCUCAUGCCUCUACUCUCCCCCUGCUCUAUCACUGUCUCUACAAAGCUGAUGCUAUCUCUUAAUGACUGUCUUUUCCUUACCUCUUCCUGCCUUGAAACAUUUAACUCACGACUGCAAUUCAGCCGCCUUCAGUUACAUUUUUCAAAGGCAUCACUGUCUUUUUUGGAUGCGUGUCAAGCCCAGCUCUAUCUCCUCUGACACAGCCAGUCCCCAUCCCCAGCCUGAGUCAUCUGCCUGCCUCGUGCUCCCACAUCCUCGCUGUCCCAAGUGCUGGGAAGUGCCAUGCCUGCAGCCCUGCAGCCCCAGUGACGCAGCAUCUCCUCCCCACUCCCUCGCCUACCUCCAACCCGUGUCUCCUUCUCACCAACUCCUGACCCCGGGGUGCCAGGCUCCAGCCCCUGGCUGAAAGCUGCUUUCUACCAUCUUAUACAGAAAUAAUAACAAAUUUUGUUUUAAAAAAGCACACGCACGUUUUAGCAACCUCUUAAUUCUGCUUAAAUCCACAUUUGAGGACCCAGCUGCAAAACUCUACGUGGACUUGCUCCAAUCAGCCCAAGGCUGAGAUCUGCACCUCGGCCCUGGACUCUACAGCACAAACAGAGCUUGUGCUUGUAAACACCGUUAUCGACAUCAACCCACAGGCUCUGGCUAGUGGCAAAUUCCUCAGUUAAGGAAGCACAGCUGAUAACCAGAGAGCUGGGAGCAUGCCAGGUCCAGAGCACACACCUGAGGUCCCAUCCGCGCUCCAGCCUGCCACCCACCAUCGCCGGGAAGCAGACUGGCUGGGAAAUCACACGCAACUUGAAUUUUAGUAACAUCACAUCCCUGAACGACACAAGCUCAAGCUGACACAAUCGGUCUCCAGUCCCCACCAGGGUUUUUGUUCAGCCCAGCAAGAGACGCUGGGGGCACACACUGCUGGCUCUCAGAGCCUGCCUACCAGCACUGGCAAAACCCGGCUGGGCUCAGGCUGCCCCUCUAGGGUGCUGCUGCUGUGGCCAAGGGGGAAGAUGCCUUGCCUUCCUAGAUCCCCCUUUCCCUACCAAACACUACAGAUGUGCCCAUCUUACUCCUGCACCACCAUUUCCAACUGGACCAGCAAUUAGACUCUUAAAACGUGCUUUCCCACCUCCAGCUGAAGGGACCAGCCCUCCCUCUCCAUGCCUGACUCCUCCCAUCCAAUUUAUUCUUUCUCCCAGUGCAUAAAGUGUGCACACUUUUACUAGACUAAAUAUGCUGUAUUCUCCCAUGGAGUAAUGCUGCACAAAACAUAAUGAUACUGCACACGUAGCACCAAGCAGAGCAAUGCAGCAGCAGUCUAAAUGUUCUAGUCCCACAGGCUGUCCGUGAGCAUCCUUGCUGCUAGCUCAGAACAGGAGAAAUGGAGACUCAAGGCCAUGGGCACGGUCCAGCUGAGCCUCUCGAGCUCAUGCUGCCUACUAGGAGAGAUGAAGACUUGCUUAAACAGAGGCAAGAAAUAUUUCAGAGUAAAGUCAAAGUGAGGAUUUGCUCAUUGCAGGCUUAACAGAGGCCAAGCUCUAGCACUCCAGAAAAGCUGGAGAAUCUCAGCUCACCCCGUUAAGUUUUCUUAUGUCUGCCAAACUUCUCUUUCCCUGUGAUACUGGCAGUGUUUGAACUUUCAGCAAAUAUGUGAGGUGAAGCACCAAUCAAAAUGCAAAUGAGCAGAUAUUUUUCUCAAUAAUAAAACCAACUGUAUUUUGGGAACACCUCUGGUGCAUGACUUACGGCCUCUCACAGAAAAGAUGCACCACGCCAUUUAUUGCCAACUCCAGCCUGAAACCACCCUUUUUACAGCAAAAAGACCGUGCCUGUUUUGGGCACGUUUAUUUCUUGACUGCCCCAGAACACUCUGAAAGGCACCUGGCCCUGCAUGUCUCACAUCCCCUUGCUGAAACUUCAAGCCAAUUCAUUAACUGCAGAGAAAAUGCAUGUGCAAGUACUGUUUUUACUAAAAAACUCAUGUGUGCCCUUAUUCCUGGAGACAGCUCUAGCUCUCUGAGCCGCUCUGUGCCCCCAUGCAAAACUCCGCUUUCGCUUCCUCAUCUUUCAGCCCACGCCUUCGCAUCGAUCGCUGGGUUUCACCCUCCCCGACUACAGCUCGGAGACCGACACAACGUGCUGGUGGCCUUACGGGCAGUUCCCAGAAGGCAAUCAUUUCUAACACAGAAAUAACCCUACCCAAACUGCUGGUCUCAGAGGACAGACCAGUGAUUGAACAAUGCCCCAAAGAACUGAACCACCCCCACCUACGCAACAUCUCCCCCGAUCAGGGUGAGUCACGGGGCAGCACACGGGCAGGUGUGAUGGGUGAUUCUCAUUCUGCGCUCUGAGCCUGCCACGCUGCCUAAGCGAUGCUGUUUGCUAAUACUGCAGAGAAGCGUUAGGGAAGAAGGCAAUUAAAAGCUCCUAGACACUGUGCUGGAAGUCCCAAGCAGCAAGGAACAAGAGCAGGUCACUGGCGACAGGAUUAACCCUGUAAAGCUACUCAACCUUCCUGAAGACCUACAGAUGAACAGCUGUAUGCAGAAAGCCUGCUGGAUGCAAGUCAAGGUGGUAGCUAAUUCCUAAAUCUUCAGAAAAAAAAAAAACAGGAAAAGCAACAAUUAGAAGGUUUGUCUGCCAGGCUUUGACCACUUGUCACCUCCAGCUGAAGCAUGAAAGACUUCCCAAUAUUCAACAAAAGAAAAGUGAUAGUUCACAAAGCGGAACGCACACAAACGCAUUUAUCAGCAUGAUCCAUUCCAGGAUGUACAACAAUGACUGUUUUGUUGUUAUAAGGUGUUUCUGAGAGGUUUCCUUUAUUCCUGGUUGGAUCUGUGUUGUGUUGUGGUUUUGGUUUUCUGGUUCUGGUUUUUUGGUUGUUUUUGUUUUGGUGUUUUGGGGUUGUUUUGGUUUUUGGUUUGGGUUUUUUUUGUUUGGGUUUUUUUUUU